GAUGAACGCUAGCGGCAGGCUUAACACAUGCAAGUCGAGGGGCAACACGGGUAGCAAUACCUGGUGGCGACCGGCGCAAGGGUGCGUAACGCGUGAGCAACAUACCCUAUACAGGGGGAUAAUCCAGGGAAACUUGGUCUAAUAUCCCAUAGGAUUUACAGAUGUCAUCAUCUAUAAAUUAAAGCUUCGGUGGUAUAGGAUUGGCUCGCGUGACAUUAGCUAGAUGGUGGGGUAACGGCCUACCAUGGCCAUGAUGUCUAGGGGUUCUGAGAGGAAGACCCCCCACACUGGGACGUGAGACACGGCCCACGACUCCUACGGGAGGGCAGCAGUGAGGAAUAUUGGACAAUGGAUGGAAAUCUGAUCCAGCCAUGCCGCGUGCAGGAAGACGGCCCUAUGGGUUGUAAACUGCUUUUAUAUGGGAGCAAUAAGGUCUACGCGUAGACCGAUGAGAGUACCAUAUGAAUAAGCAUCGGCUAACUCCG
rnacentral:rRNA from 1 species